CAUUUGACGUUAGCUGCAGAAGAAGCACCGGCUAACUCCGUGCCAGCAGCCGCGGUAAUACGGAGGGUGCGAGCGUUAAUCGGAAUUACUGGGCGUAAAGCGCAUGCAGGUGGUUUGUUAAGUCAGAUGUGAAAGCCCGGGGCUCAACCUCGGAAUUGCAUUUGAAACUGGCAAACUAGAGUACUGUAGAGGGGGUAGAAUUUCAGGUGUAGCGGUGAAAUGCGUAGAGAUCUGAAGGAAUACCGGUGGCGAAGGCGGCCCCCUGGACAGAUACUGACACUCAGAUGCGAAAGCGUGGGGAGCAAACAGGAUUAGAUACCCUGGUAG
rnacentral:rRNA from 1 species